UGAAUACGAGACGCUAAGGCGUCGAAGUAGUGUAUGUCAUACUUCCAAGAAAAGCUUGCACUGUCAUAGAUAAAAAACGCCUGUACCAUAACCGACACAGGUGGGUAGGUAGAGUAUACUAAGGGGCGCGAGAUAACUCUCUCUAAGGAACUCGGCAAAAUAACUCCGUAACUUCGGGAGAAGGAGUGCCUUAUUCGUAAGGUUGCAAUAACAAGAUCCAAGCAACUGUUUAUCAAAAACACAGGUCUCCGCUAAGUCGUAAGACGAUGCAUGGGGGCUGACGCCUGCCCAGUGCCAGAAGGUUAAAGAAGUUGGUUAGCAAUUGCGAAGCUGAUAACUGAAGCCCUGGUGAACGGCGGCCGUAACUAUAACGGUCCUAAGGUAGCGAAAUUCCUUGUCGGGUAAGUUCCGACCCGCACGAAAGGCGUAAUGAUUUGGAUACUGUCUCGGAGAGGGGCUCGGUGAAAUAGACUUGUCUGUGAAGAUGCGGACUACCUGCACCAGGACAGAAAGACCCUAUGAAGCUUUACUGUAACUUGAAAUUGAAAUUGGACUUUAUUCGCGCAGUAUAGGUGGGAGGCGUUGAUUAUAAUCUUGUGGGAUUAUUGGAGCCAUCAGUGAGAUACCACUCUUGUAAUGUUAGAUUUCUAACUUUGAAUCAUUAUCUGGUCAAAGAACAGUUUCAGGCGGGCAGUUUGACUGGGGCGGUCGCCUCCUAAACGGUAACGGAGGCGUACAAAGGUUUCCUCUGAACGGUUAGAAAUCGUAUCUAGAGUGUAAAGGCAUAAGGAAGCUUGACUGUGAGACCUACAAGUCGAGCAGGGACGAAAGUCGGUCUUAGUGAUCUGACGGUACUGAGUGGAAAGGCCGUCACUCAACGGAUAAAAGUUACUCUAAGGAUAACAGGCUGAUCUCCCCCAAGAGUUCACAUCGACGGGGAGGUUUGGCACCUCGAUGUCGGCUCAUCGCAUCCUGGGGCGGUAGUACGUCCCAAGGGUUGGGCUGUUCGCCCAUGAAAGCGGUACGCGAGCUGGGUUCAGAACGUCGUGAGACAGUUCGGUCCAUAUCCGGUGUAGGCGUUAGAAUAUUGAGAGGAGCCUUCCUUAGUACGAGAGGACCGAGAAGGACAUACCUCUGGUGUACCAGUUAUCGUGCCAACGGUAAACGCUGGGUAGCUAUGUAUGGAGUGGAUAACCGCUGAAAGCAUCUAAGUGGGAAGCCCACCUCAAGAUAAGUAUUCUC
rnacentral:rRNA from 1 species